GUAGGUGGCAAGCGUUGUCCGGAAUUAUUGGGCGUAAAGCGCGCGCAGGCGGUUCUUUAAGUCUGAUGUGAAAGCCCACGGGCUCAACCGUGGAGGGUCAUUGGAAACUGGAGAACUUGAGUACAGAAGAGGGAAGCGGAAUUCCACGUGUAGCGGUGAAAUGCGUAGAGAUGUGGAGGAACACCAGUGGCGAAGGCGGCUUUCUGGUCUGUAACUGACGCUGAGGCGCGAAAGCGUGGGGAGCAAACAGGAUUAGAUACCCUGGUAGUCCACGCCGUAAACGAUGAGUGCUAAGUGUUACGGGGGUUUCCGCCCCUUAGUGCUGCAGCUAACGCAUUAAGCACUCCGCCUGGGGAGUACGGCCGCAAGGCUG
rnacentral:rRNA from 1 species